UACGAAGGGGGCUAGCGUUGCUCGGAAUCACUGGGCGUAAAGCGCACGUAGGCGGACUCUUAAGUCGAUGGUGAAAUCCUGGGGCUCAACCCCAGAACUGCCUUCGAUACUGAGAGCCUUGAGUCCGGGAGAGGUGAGUGGAACUGCGAGUGUAGAGGUGAAAUUCGUAGAUAUUCGCAAGAACACCAGUGGCGAAGGCGGCUCACUGGCCCGGUACUGACGCUGAGGUGCGAAAGCGUGGGGAGCAAACAGG
rnacentral:rRNA from 1 species